GCAUAACGCGAAGAACCUUACCAGGUCUUGACAUCCCUCUGACCGAUCCUUAACCGGAUCUUCUCUUCGGAGCAGAGGUGACAGGUGGUGCAUGGUUGUCGUCAGCUCGUGUCGUGAGAUGUUGGGUUAAGUCCCGCAACGAGCGCAACCCUUAUCUUUAGUAGCCAGCAGUUCGGCUGGGCACUCUAGAGAGACUGCCAGGGAUAACCUGGAGGAAGGUGGGGAUGACGUCAAAUCAUCAUGCCCCUUAUGAUCUGGGCUACACACGUGCUACAAUGGUGAUAACAAAGUGAAGCAGCCUCGUGAGAGUGAGCAAAUCACAAAAAAGUCAUCUCAGUUCGGAUUGUAGUCUGCAACUCGACUACAUGAAGCUGGAAUCGCUAGUAAUCGCGAAUCAGAAUGUCGCGGUGAAUACGUUCCCGGGUCUUGUACACACCGAGGUCGGUGGGGGAGGGGCAA
rnacentral:rRNA from 1 species